ACAUAACUGAUGCCUCCGCGUAUCGACUUUGUGCGCAUUUUAGCUAUUAUGUGUUCUUUUAAUUAAAAUGAUUCUUUUUAAGAUUCAUCUAUUAAAAAUUUGCUUCGGCAUAAUUUUUUUUGAUGAUCUUGUUACUUUGAGUAAAUUAGAGUGUUCAAAGCAAACAGAUAUAGCAUUUGUGCGUUUGAAUACUACAGCAUGGAAUAACAAAAUUGAACAAGUCAGAAUUUUUUUGUUCUUUUUUCUUAUUUUGGCUUAGUUACGAUUAAUAGGAGUAGCUUGGGGGCAUUUGUAUUCAGAUGUCAGAGGUGAAAUUCUUAGAUUUUCUGGAGACAAACAACUGCGAAAGCAUUUGCCUAAAAUACUUCCAUUAAUCAAGAACGAAAGUUAAGGGAGUGAAGACGAUCAGAUACCGUCGUAAUCUUAACCAUAAACUAUGCCGACUAGGCUUUGGAUGAAAGAUUUUAAAAUAAGAGUUUUUCUUUUCUCUCCGGAGAUUAGAACUCUUAGAUUGCUUCCUUCAGUGCCUUAUGAGAAAUCAAAGUCUUUGGGUUCUGGGGCGAGUAUUCGCGCAAGCGAGAAAGUUAAAAGAAUUGACGGAAGGGCACCACCAGGCGUGGAGCUUGCGGCUUAAUUUGACUCAACACGGGAAAACUCACUAGUUUAAGACAAGAGUAGGAUUGACAGAUUAAUAGCUCUUUCUUGAUUUCUUGGAUGGUGAUGCAUGGCCGUUUUUAGUUCGUGAAUAUGAUUUGUCUGGUUAAUUCCGAUAACGAACGAGAUCUUAACCUGCUAAUUAGCGGCAAAUACGAUAUAUUCUUAUGUAGAAUUGAAUAUAGUGGAUUUGUUGGAUUUUGAAGAAAAUAUUGGAAUUAGGUUAAAUGUGAUUCCUUUCCCUUUUCUACUUAAUUUACAUUUCCAUCUAUUUCUUUUUUGCGUAUGAAUGUAUUUGCUUGAUUGUAAAGCUUCUUAGAGGAACGAUGUGUG
rnacentral:rRNA from 1 species